AUACAGAGGGUGCGAGCGUUAAUCGGAAUUACUGGGCGUAAAGCGCGCGUAGGCGGCUACUUAAGUCAGAUGUGAAAUCCCCGGGCUCAACCUGGGAACUGCAUCUGAUACUGGGUAGCUAGAGUUUUGGAGAGGGAAGUAGAAUUUCAGGUGUAGCGGUGAAAUGCAUAGAGAUCUGAAGGAAUACCAGUGGCGAAGGCGACUUCCUGGCCAAAAACUGACGCUGAGGUGCGAAAGCGUGGGUAGCAAACGGGAUUAGAAACCCCUGUAGUCC
rnacentral:rRNA from 1 species